CCUACGGGAGGCUGCAGUGAGGAAUAUUGGUCAAUGGACGAGAGUCUGAACCAGCCAAGUAGCGUGAAGGAUGACUGCCCUAUGGGUUGUAAACUUCUUUUAUAUGGGAAUAAAAUGUUUCACGUGUGGGAUUUUGUAUGUACCAUAUGAAUAAGGAUCGGCUAACUCCGUGCCAGCAGCCGCGGUAAUACGGAGGAUCCGAGCGUUAUCCGGAUUUAUUGGGUUUAAAGGGAGCGUAGGUGGAUUGAUAAGUCAGUUGUGAAAGUUUGAGGCUCAACCGUAAAAUUGCAGUUGAAACUGGAAGUCUAGAGUACAGUAGAGGCAGGCGGAAUCCGUGGUGUAGCGGUGAAAUGCUUAGAUAUCACGAAGAACACCGAUUGCGAAGGCAGUUCACUGGACUGCAACUGACACUGAGGCUCGAAAGUGUGGGUAUCAAACAGGAUUAGAUACCCCUGUAGUC
rnacentral:rRNA from 1 species